AGUAACACGUGGAUAACCUACCUAUAAGACUGGGAUAACUUCGGGAAACCGGAGCUAAUACCGGAUAAUAUUUUGAACCGCAUGGUUCAAAAGUGAAAGACGGUCUUGCUGUCACUUAUAGAUGGAUCCGCGCUGCAUUAGCUAGUUGGUAAGGUAACGGCUUACCAAGGCAACGAUGCAUAGCCGCCCUGAGAGGGUGAUCGGCCACACUGGAACUGAGACACGGUCCAG
rnacentral:rRNA from 1 species